CAUGGUUUAACCCCAGCCAGCAACUAAGCACCACACAGCCACUCUUUCACUCCCCCCCCCCCCCCCCCCCCCCCCCCCCCCCNNCCUGGCUGGACGCCAGGGGCAAACCAAAGCCAUUCUAUCACCCCCCCCCCCAGCUGGACAGGGGAGAGAAAAUAUAACAAAGGGCUCAUGGGUCAAGGUAAGGACAGGGAGAGAUCACUCACCAAUUACUGUCACGGGCAAAACAGACUUGACUUUGGGAAAAUUAACUUAAUUUAUUGCCAAUCAAACCAGAGUAGGGUAAUGAGAAAUAAAACCAAAUCUCAAAGCACCUUCCCCCCACCCCUCCCUUCUUCCCAGGCACAGCUUCACUCCCAAAUUCUCUACCUACACCCCCACCUCAGCAGCGCAGGGGGACAGGGAAUGGGGGUUACAAUCAAUUCAUCACAAGUUGUCUCUGCUGCUUCUUCCUCCUCAGGGGCAGGACUCCUCAACACCCUUGCCCUGCCCCACCGUGGAGUCCCUCCCACGGGAGACAGUCCUCCACGAACUUCUCCAAUGUGAGUCCCUCCCACAGGGUGCAGUUCUUCACGAACUCUCUAGCAUGGGUCCCUUCCACAGAGCACAGUCCUUCAGGAGCACACUGCUCCAGUGUGGGUCUCCUGCAGGGGCACAAGUCCUGCCAGAAAACCUGCUCUGUGGGCUCCUCUCUCCACAGAUCCACAGGUCCUGCCAGGAACCUGCUCCAGCGCGGGCUUCCCACAGGGUCACAGCCUCCUUCGGGAACCCACCUGCUCCGGCAUGGGGUCCUCCACAGGCUGCAGGUGGAGAUCUGCUCCACCGUGGACCUCCAUGGACUGCAGGGGGACAGCCUGCCUCACCAGGGUCUUCACAACAGGCUACAGGGGAAUCUCUGCUCCGGCGCCUGGAGCAUCUCCUCCCCCUCCUCCUGCACUGACCUGGGGGUCUGCAGGGCUGUUUGUCUUACACAUCCUCACUCCUCUCUCCAGCUGCAGUUUGAGGCCCAGCAACUUUUUUUUCCCCUUCUUAAAUCUGUUAUCCCAGAGGCACUACCACUGUUGCUGAUGGGCUUGGCCUUGGCCAGCGGUGGGUCAGUCUUGGAGCCAGCUGGUAUUGGCUCUGUCAGACAAAGGGUAAGCUUCCAGCAGCUUCUAACAGAAGCCACCCCUGUAGCCCCCCUGCUACCAAAACCUUGACACGCAAACCCAAUACGCUAGCAUAUCUAAUGAAACACGUACAUUUUUUGCUGAGAAGUGAUGAAAGAAAAUCAUAUUCCCACACUUGCUUGG
rnacentral:lncRNA from 1 species